GCGGGCGUAGUGAAAUGAUUAUCACGCCAGCUUCCCAAGCUGGAAUCGCGGGUUUGAUUCCCGUCGCCCGCACCA
rnacentral:tRNA from 1 species